CCGGUACCUCCCGCGACGCCGCCUCCCAGCCCAGAGGAGACACAUCCGCCUUCUGCGUGCUGCAUCCCAGGCUGGCUUCCCUUUCCCGGGGUCCUUCCCGGCCUCUAGGUUCUCGAAGAAGAAGGACCUCUCCUGUAGGUUACAACUUUGCGUGUGAAAGCAUCGCUACGUGGUGUUUUCCAUUCCUUACUUCAAAUGGUGCUCACAACAUCCCUCUGAGCAAAACUUAGUUACGUGGUAACACCAGAUGUAAAGGAGCUGGGAAAUGCAAUGCCUCCUGGACAGCCUCUUUCCAGUAAUAACCUUGCUCUUUGAAAAUGAGAGCACACGUUUGAUAGCCAGACGACCAUACCAGCCAUAUCAACUAGAUACGUAGUAUCCCCUCAUGUAGUGGAGAAAGGCAAAGAUUCUUCAAGUGAAAUGAGUUCGAUGAAGCAAAAUUAAGAUGGCUGCCCAACUACUAGAAUUAAGACAACAGAAAACCGUUAAAAGGAAGAAACUUUUUAGAUUGGAGAAAACUCCUUAGUGCUGACCUUCCUCCCACACUCUUGGCAACCAUCAGUAGCCUGCAAGUCUAUCAUUCCUGACUCCUUUGGACUUGAAACUGUAGUGACUCCUGGCAACCUUAGGGAACAUUGCCCCUGGUCCCGUUGCUAAUAAACAAUUCUUUGACAUGGUUCUGCUUCCCCAUUUCCUGGAAAUUGAGCCAUCCAGGUUGACUAAGCACCAACCAAACCCUCUCAAAUUUACCACUUGUGCCUGGAUCUACCCUCCCGAGCCUGAAAGUCUAGCCAAACUUUCUGGAUGACUGGUCCUGGUGCAGCACGCAUGGAGAAAAUCUGCAGAAGUCAGCCAAGAUGUAUGGUUGGUAAAGGAGUGAGUUGAGAACAAAGAGUAGUGAAAUUUCAAAUGUGUAUGUCUACAAUGAAGGAUUUUAAAGAAACAAAGAAUUUUUUUUCUAAUUCAUGUUUAUUGGAACAAAUUAUUAGUAAUUUUUAUGCCAGCUAUCUAGUUAGAUCAAGCUCUAUUGUGACCAGAACUGAUUUUCACAAACAUGAAAGCAGGUGCAAACAACUUAAAAAUAGCCUUGAAUGGCAAUGAUAACUGUUCUAUGUGAUCAAGAAAGCAUAUCUUUGUGCCAGAAAGCCCCUUUCCUACUUGGCAAGGUCCUAAAUACCACUGCUCACGAAAAGAGUUGAUGCAUUAGUUGGAAUUUCUAGGAUUCCAAUGUUUAAAAUUGUUUACUAGUGUUUAGAAAAUGCUAAAAAUUAUCUUUCAGUUCAAGAUGGCUUCACAGACAAUAAUUGUUGUUCUGGUGAUACAUGAAAUGUUCAAGGGCGCGUGGGUGGCUCAGUUGGUUAAGA